CAGCCCUUUAUAAGUCAGCAUCGCACCGGCUCGGAGGCUGAGAUCUGUGAUGAUCCAACAGGCCAGUGUCUUCGACCGUCAGUGCGGGGGCCCGUCUAGCAGAAGACAGACAGUAGGACAGUAGACGACGGCGGCGUGCCAGCGUCGGCGGCAGGUACCGCUGCCGCCUCCUUCCGCUCUCUCCUCUCGGUGGUCCUAAUCCCUCCCCCUCCACAGGUUCUAAGGCCGCUAGACUCCGCUGGGCGCUGUACCGGCCUCCGCCGCCGCGACCCCCUUUCCUCCUACCGCCGUGCCUCGGGGAUGAGGACAGGCAGGAGCGAGAGGGGCGUUGCCGCGAGGGGCGGCAGCAGAGGGCGGACCUCCGGCGGCAGGGCGCCUUCCGCGCGUCGAUGGAGGGGGCGUUGCAGGGCAGCCGGACCACCAGUGAGUCCUAGGGGAAGUAGGUCGGCGACGGCGGCCGACCCCUGGGCCGUUUGCUUCUCCUCCCCUCUUCCAAGGGGGCGGGGGUCGCGCACGUCCACCGAGGCAGAGAGCUAGGUCCGUGCCGGCUAUUCGGCGGGUUCUCUAACUUCUCCACGGACGUGACGUUCCGCCACCUCUGCGGCGUCGCCUCCAGUCCCGGCUACCCCGCCCCAUGGGAGACGUUGCGGACGCCUCAGACCAUGUCAUUCUUGCCCUGCGACGGCCUCGUGGAAGGCCACCGUUCGGGUUAGCAGCUAAGCGGCGACCUCUUAGGCUAGACCCUCGGGCUCCACGGACCCCGGUAGAUGGACCAGUCUUUCAGCCGGUGCCUCUCCUACGGAGGGUCCUGUCUUCGGCGUGGUCGCGGUGCCGGCCCCUGCUCGACGAACGUGACGCCCAGCAGCCUCGGCGGAAACACCUAUCUUCCCAGCUACUCCGCCUCCCUCCAGACGUGGCGGACGCCGUACGCCAUGUUCUUUCCCUCCAACGACGGCCUCACGGCAGGUCGUCUCACGAGUCACUGCCUAAGGGCCGUCCUCUCGGGUCAGUAGUUGAGGGGCGGUCUCUCAGGGUAGACCCUUGGACUCCGCGGAGGCAGGCACGUGGACGGUUCUUUCGGAAGUUUUUUCUUCUUCUCCUCCGCCAGCUCUUCGCUUCGGGGAAGCCGCGGUACCGGCCGUUUAUUCCCCUUCUCCACGGUCGUGACACCCAGCAGUCUCUGCGGCGUCACCUCCCUCCCCGGUUUCCCCGCUCGGUGCGACACGUUGCGCACGCCGCACGCCAUGUCCGUCCCCUCCGAUGACGGCCUCAUGGCCGGGUACCGCUCGGGAUGUAAACACGGUUGUUUCGUACGGUUAAGGGUGGCGUUCCACGAGGUCAACGUAGCCUGGUCCGUUUCGUUGCUGCUCGUAGGUAGUGGCGACGGACGGCUGUCGCAGUGGUUGGACGGGGGUUAGGCGCUGCUCGAGGGCUGGUGGUCGUGCCGUCCAGAACGGUCACUCCUAGGCUGGCUGCGUGGCCCGAUGUGGCUGUUGGGUUAGUUGCACGGCUCGAGUGACCUGAGCGACGACGAGCUGCCCGGCAGCCGUGGUGAGUAGUAUGACUACGAACCUUUAAAAUUUGAAAGUUAGUGACUUCCGGUGACGUGUCCGGGAUCGUCACUAGUUUGGUCAAGACACUUAAGUUGGUAAAUCCACCUCCUAAAAGCUCAAGGCAAAGACCAUUAAAAAAAGGGAAAAAAGAAAAGUACUGAGGUUGCCUUUUAAUCACCCGUACUUGGUCAAAUACCUUACACGUAACUCUUCUGUCUACACGUAUCAAACCGUCUUCGUAGUCUAUAAACCGUUCUACCGACGCAUCGAACAAUUGGAUCUAACGAGUUUGGAGGGCAAAGACCUCGAGGUCUAAC
rnacentral:rRNA from 1 species